rnacentral:tRNA from 1 species
AGGGUAAUAGCUCAGGGGUAGAGUGUGUGCUUAGCAUGCACAAGGUCCUGGGUUCAAUCCCCAGUACCUUC